ensembl:lncRNA LINC00607 long intergenic non-protein coding RNA 607
AUCUCAAAAUCAGCAGCUUUGGUAGUGCUGUGACUUUCGGUUUCUCUGAAAGUGUUCCUCAAAGAAGCCAGUAUUUGAAUUGUUUGCUACUCAGCCACGAAGAGAUAAGAAGCCUGUGUCAGAAUGCAUGUGAACACGCUGCUUGCUUCCUAGAAGCCUUGCUUUGAAAAAGAAGGUCUGCCCAUCCACAUCAUUUUGGCUGGCCCAGAAUACUCAGUACCUCUCAAUGACCCUCAGACGCUGUAGGAAGAGGAUUGGUUCACCUUUUAACCCAGAAUUUCUCACAUUGAAUGGACAGGAUGCAUUCCAAGAGGCCAGAGUAUGUGCAUCUCAGCUCCUGAUGGUUUCCACCACCACCAUUACUUUCUCUAUGUCAAGAUACCUGGGAAGCCGGUGUUUCAUUUGCAUUCUUGGAGCCCAGGAACUGUCUUCUACAAACUUUUCUUCCUAGUACCAUGUAAACGUACACAGGAAACGUUCAGAAAACAUCAGCCAAAUAGAAGAAUAAGGAAAUUCCUUCACUGACUAGAUAUUGGUGUUUGAUUCUGUCCUGCUUUGUACUCAAUGGCUAUUUCGGGGUUUCCAUUGCGGAAAACUAUUUGGAAAAUUGCAAGCCACGAGACAAGCCUCUAAGCUACUCCAGGAUCAUUGAGGACUCUCCAUGGGUUCUUAUUGUUAAAGAUCUUAACUCCUCAAGCCACUGCAUUUUUACUAUAUGCCUUGAACUACAAGAUGUGUUAAGAUUUAUAGGAUAAGGUUCUCAUCUCUAAAAACUCAUGGUCUCGAUGGAGAAGCAGUAUUUACACACAUGGAGAAGUUGAGAGUACUUGAAUGUGGAGUAUAAAGUGUGCGAUAUUGACAAGAAGCUCUACGAAAGUUCAGGAAGAGGAGGAGCAAGUGAGGAUGGAGAUGGACUUUGCAGAAUGGAGGAGAGGCAAAGAAACGGUUAGAAACAAUCUACAUAAUGAAAAGUCACUUUUGGGAGUUGUUUUAAGGCAGAGUAUCAUAUCGCAUCAAAACCGCUCCAUAAGUCCUGCCACUCCACGUGCAAUGCCAUGAACUUGAAGAAACUGCUGAAGAAUCUUGGUCGUCCAGAAAGCUUGCUAUAGCUGCCCAGCAUUUGCCUCCUCCACAAAGAAGGACCAAAAGAACAAGUAGACAAUCACAUGCCAAAUAAAAUGUCUAAAGGAGAGCACUGAAGCUCAGCAAAAACGUUACAAAGACCCUCUGAGGUGCAGAAACUCGGGAUGGCAGCACAAAGAGGAAAGCAAAGCAGCCGGUCAGGAUCAGCUCACAGUCAAGGGCGCCCCGCCUUGAGUAGGAAAUGUAAGCAGGAGAUGCCCUGCAGGCAACAUUCCCACCACAAAUGCCUGCAAGCCUAGCUGUAGGAGAGCCUCGCAGUGUUGAGCCCAGUGCGGGAGCUGCCUGGAGUCUCUGUGACUACAUUACUCCAGAGAGGCCACUGGGUCCCUCCUUAGUCCCUGGGACCCAAGCCGCUGCAGCACAGUAUCAUUUUGAGGACAGAGCCACUGCCAGAAUGCUUCCUGUCCUGGGGCCCGGUAACCCCUGCAUGUCCUCAUCACUGGAGCCCCAAUAUCAUUCCACAGUUGUAUGAGGAGUAAAAAUAACUAUAAAUAAAGAUAACUCAAGAAUUCUAUAAGCAAGCAUACACAUGAAAUUCAUUUUAUAAGAGGAAAGCUAACUCCAUCUCUCUUGAAAUAUGGAAUAGGUUCUUGAAGCAAUUCUAAAUGCUGAUCUGCUGGAAUGAUGGCUUCAUUGCACAAGAAUUCUGCUUAGUUCAUUGAAGUCUCCUUGAAGAAGUCAGUCUGAGAAUGGGGGAAUUCCGUUGUUGGUCAGAAGAAUUCUUUGGUCACUAUUGGAAGUGGGUUCAGUUUAGGGUGACUAUUGAUCAACAGGGUUCAUGGGUUUGCUAAAACUCAUUUCAGGCAAGCUUUGGAAGUGCAGUUCGCUUGGUGCUUAUGGGGUUAAAAACAGGAGGAAGAGAAUUUCACAUUAUUGGAGGGCCUGAAAGGAAACUGAUUCCCGCAAGAUGCUCAGACAAGAUCAAACCCAGCCCCUUUUCUGGUUUGGAAUUUCUCUGGGCUAUAAAGGUAGAAGAAAAGGCCCUGCAUGGGCCCACUCUAAGUGCUUGGAGGUUUUAGAUAAUUUUAUUAAAUUGUAGAAUCUUAAACAGAACUACAAGGUUGCUUUUAAAACCAGAUCUCAGAUUUCUUUGAGCUAACAAAUGGUAAAAUGUAUCUUUAGUAUUAGAGUGAGAUAAAGGUAGUUAUAACUUUUUUUUUUACUUAUUUUAUGUUAACGUAUGCAACAAAGGGUACAAAUUGUAGGUACGCAGCUCAUUGAACUUUUAUGUCUGCACAUGCCUAUGAAACCAACACCCAGAGUAAGAUGCGGAUAAUUUUCUGCUCCCCUGAAAAUUCCCUUGUGCCUUUUCCUCAUCAGUACCUCCAAAGGUAACCACUAUUUUGAUUUCCAUUACCAUAGAUGAGUUAUACUUGUUUUUGAAAAGAUUAUUUGAAAUGUGUAAUAUAAAUAAUAGCGGUUGCUUAUCUUACAGAAAUAUCACUGAGAAUUCAUUUCUUCUCUCCUUCAUUUAUUCAUUUGUUCAAAACACUGUCUAGUACCAACAUUGUCCACCGGGCGUUGAGAAUACAAUAUUGAAGAAGAGUCACUGCCUGCCCUCUGGAAAAAUCAGAGUAUUUGAAAGAAUACACACAAGUAAACAGGCAGCUAUGGCAAAGUGGGUAAAAGCUGCAAAACAGGGAAGUUUCGCCAAGUGUCAGAUGCCAAGAAGUGUCAGAUGCCAAGAAGAAAGGGUGCAUGACAUAGACUUGGGGGGGUCAGUAGUGGUUUCUGGAACGAGUGACAUUUAGACUGAAACUGGAAGGAUAUGAGUAAGGGCUAAUCGGACCAAGAUGAAGAGAUACAGAAGCAGAAGGAACAGUAGGAACAAAUGCUCAGAGGCAAAAGAAAGCUUUGAAUAUUUGAGGAACUGAAAAGCAAAACAACAAAAAAUAGCCAUCCCUUGACUAGACAAGUGACCUGGGGUCAGAUCCUGAAGGGCUUUGCAGAUCACUUUUCCGCUUGUAGACUUUGUACUUGACUUUAAGGGCCAUGGAGAGCCACUGAAGCAUUUUCAGCAAGGGACUGUCAUCAGCAGAUUGGUAUUUGUUUUGAAGUAGCACAUGUAAGAGAAA